GAUUAUUGUAUAUAAAUCAUCGAAUAUCUUACUUAUAUUUUGAUCUGUCGAAAAAAUUAUUACAUUGACAUUAUAGAUCAAUAUAUAUAAUUGCAAAUUUAUAAUUUAAUAUUGCUAGUCAAAUGCCUAAUGUCAUAAUGUCUAAGAAUGUAUAUUAUAUAUAUUGAUGUAUAUGAUAAUGUUAAAAAUUAAAAAUAAAUUGCCAUCAGUAUUAAAUAAUUAAAUAAAAAUGGAGGAGAGAGCAAUGCUAUGGAUGCUUUCUCUUGUUAUGUUUGUUGGAUCUUGUCUUGGAGCUGGAUCACUGCCAUUAAGUUAAAUAAAUUUAUCAGAAGAAGUAAGAUAUAGAAGUGAAGAAGAAUAUUUUAUGUAAUAUAAAAUUAUGUAUGUAUAUAAUAGGUGUAUAUCAGAAUUCAUUGUAUCUUGUAAUUUACGUGCAAUAUGUUUUCCAUAGGACAAGUUACAAUUAGUUUCAAUAUUAGGAGCAGGACUCCUUGUUGGUUACUGCGCUAGCGAUUAUACCUGACUGUACCUGAGGGUGUAAGAGCAUUAUUUACUGUGGAUGGUAUUACUAAUGAAAAAGGCAAUUUACAUACUUUAACUUGGAAUUAGUUUAGUACUUGGUUUAUGCUUUUAAUUGAUCAAUGUUCAGCCAGAAAAAGUGGAGGAAGACAAGAAAAGUAUUACAGCAACUUUAGGUCUUAUAGUAGAUGCUGCUAGUUGAUUGGCGGUGUUGCAUUGGGAGCUGCUGCUACUACAUCUCAAGCUGAUGUCGAAGUGUCUUAGUUUUUCUUCGCAAUAAUGUUACACAAGGCGCCAGAUGCAUUUGGACUUGUGUCAAUUUCUUCUUCAUGAAGGUGUAGAUAGAAAGUAAGAAAAUAAGCAGACACUUAUUAAUUUUCUCUCUUGCGGCAACGUGUCUUGCACUUGUGACAUAUUUUGGAAUUGGAAAAGUAAUGUGAGUGAGUAAUAGUAUAUGGAAUGUAUCGCAAGAUGUGUACACAUACAGUUACACCCAUAUGCGCACUAUACUUGUUUCUUUUGCUGUAUACAUAUGCGUAUUGUUUAAUAGAAACAUUUAUUAUCUGAAAGGAAAAAAUGUUCCUGCUGAUGCACAAAAGCGUAACGUCAUAUACUGAUAUAUCUAAACACUUAUGAUACUUGCCCUACAGAAUGACAUAAUUUAGAUAAAGGAAAAUACUUAAAUAAAGUGUUAUGCUUGCAGAUAUCCAAACUGUCGAAACGCAAUCUCUGCAAUAUACAAUUGUUGUAUGCAUAUAUGUAUGCAAAACAUAUAAUGGUGCAAGUUGGGAAAAAAAUGCUUUACGAUUUAGAACAGAUACAUUAGAAGCAAUUGUACUAAGCAUUUAACGAAUAAAAUUCAUUUAUAUAUUAUUUAUUUGCCCAAUAUUUCUGUUAUUAAAUUACGUAAUUUUUCCUUAACAGACACCUAUUGUAAUGAAAUAACAUACAGUGCACAAGAUAGUUAAUCAAUAUAUAUUAUAGAGAAACAAUAGAAAAUCCGGGACAUUCAGGACUGCCGCGCAAGACUGCACGCGCCAAUCAGGCGCGAGAACGGACGCGGACGCGCGAAGACUCCCAAUCAGGAGUGAGGACUGCAGUGCGUGCGCGAAGACGUCCAAUCAGGCGCGAGAACUGCCGCGCACGCCGCCAAGACUCCCAAUCAGGCGCGAGGACUGCCGCGGACGCGCGAAGACUGCCAAUCAGGAGCGAGGACUGCCGCGCACGCCGCCAAGACUCCCAAUCAGGCGCGAGGACUGCCGAACAUGCGCGAAAUUGCAAAUUUAAAGGACAAGUUACAAUUAGUUUCAAUAUUAGGAGCAGGACUCCUUGUUGGUACUGCGCUAGCGAUUAUACCUGACUGUACCUGAGGGUGUAAGAGCAUUAUUUACUGUGGAUGGUAUUACUAAUGAAAAAGGCAAUUUACAUACUUUAACUUGGAAUUAGUUUAGUACUUGGUUUAUGCUUUUAAUUGAUCAAUGUUCAGCCAGAAAAAGUGGAGGAAGACAAGAAAAGUAUUACAGCAACUUUAGGUCUUAUAGUAGAUGCUGCUAGUUGAUUGGCGGUGUUGCAUUGGGAGCUGCUGCUACUACAUCUCAAGCUGAUGUCGAAGUGUCUUAGUUUUUCUUCGCAAUAAUGUUACACAAGGCGCCAGAUGCAUUUGGACUUGUGUCAUUUCUUCUUCAUGAAGGUGUAGAUAGAAAGUAGUAAGAAAAUAAGCAGACACUUAUUAAUUUUCUCUCUUGCGGCACCGUGUCUUGCACUUGUGACAUUAUUUUGGAAUUGGAAAAGUAAUGUGAGUGAGUAAUAGUAUAUGGAAUGUAUCGCAAGAUGUGUACACAUACAGUUACACCCAUAUGCGCACUAUACUUGUUUCUUUUGCUCUAUACAUAUGUGUAUUGUUUAAUAGAAACAUUUAUUAUCUGAAAGGUAAAAUGUUCCUGCUGAUGGACAAAAGCGUAACCAUAUACUGAUAUAUCUAAACACUUAUGAUACUUGCUCUACAGAAUGACAUAAUUUAGAGCAAAUACUUAAAGAAAAUGUUAUGCUUGCAGAUAUCCAAACUGUCGAAACGCAAUCUCUGCAAUAUACAAUUGUUGUAAAUAUAUGUAUGCAAAACAUAUAAUGGUGCAAGUUGGAAAAAAAUGCUUUACGAUUUAGAACAGAUACAUUAGAAGCAAU
rnacentral:lncRNA from 1 species